rnacentral:rRNA from 1 species
UGGGGAAUUUUGCACAAUGGGGGAAACCCUGAUGCAGCGACGCCGCGUGAUUUAGAAGGCCUUCGGGUUGUAAAAAUCUUUUCUAUGGGAAGAAAAUGACAGUACCAUAGGAAUAAGGACCGGCUAAUUACGUGCCAGCAGCCGCGGUAAUACGUAAGGUCCGAGCGUUGUCCGGAAUCAUUGGGCGUAAAGGGUACGUAGGCGGGUAAGCAAGUUAGAAGUGAAAUCCUAUAGCUCAACUAUAGUAAGCUUUUAAAACUGCUCAUCUUGAGGUAUGGAAGGGAAAGUGGAGUUCCUAGUGUAGCGGUGAAAUGCGCAGAUAUUAGGAGGAAUACCGGUGGCGAAGGCGACUUUCUGGCCAUAACCUGACGCUGAGGUACGAAAGCGUGGGUAGCAAACAGG